rnacentral:tRNA from 1 species
GCCUGGCUAGCGCAGUCAGUAGGGCGUGGGACUCUUGAUCUCAGGGUUGUGAGUUCAAGCCCCACAUUGGGCA